UGGUCGCGGGGGUGCUGGAACACCAUCCCGAUUUGCGUCCGGGCGACGACGGGGUCGUCCGUCACGUCGGUCUCGUCGACGGUGACGGU
rnacentral:tRNA from 1 species